rnacentral:lncRNA from 1 species
AGGCUGAGGAUGAAUGGGGAUUACCUGCGGUGCCACGUGCUUCACUUCGGGGUUAAAUUCACACUUUCUACUUGUGUGCAUACAAGAAUGUUCACCUCCAAGCGUUUGUUUUCACUUGUGAAAGCUACUAAUACGUUUUGUGCAUAACAGUCUCAUAAACCUUGGAUCCUCGAUUUGUUCAUGAGAAGCAGUGAUUUAGUUUUUUUUUUUUUUUCCAGUCACUUAUGUUUUGUGUUUGGUCCAUUAGUAAACUUUCAAGUAAUGAAAAGGUUAAAUGUUUGGUAUGUACUCAAUGGAAUCUUGUUCUGUUCAGGUUAGUUUUGUGUGUUUUCCUCUGUUUCUAGACAAGAACUCAUGUGGCUUUUAGCAGUUUUGAUGGAUGAUCAAGAAUCAUGAUAAAUAUCUCCAAGGCAAUUUGGAGUAAACUGUUUGGUCAAAAGGUUAAAGACACAUGUUCCCGUUUGGUAGAACGUAUACGAUACAAAAUUCUGUCCUUUAGAUGCUCUCACGUACCUUAAAAUUUUCAUGGUUUUCUAAAAACUUUUGUUAUAUUGUUUUUUUUUUUUUGUUGAGAGUUUUUAGAUUACCUGCAGAUAGAUAAUGGAAAUUUAUAAUGUGUGGAAUCAAAUAGAAUGUAACGUCAUAUUAUUGAUAUGUAAUCAUAUCAUUCACGCACUCAUUGUUGUAUAAAACUUAGAGUCUACAACGUCUAGUGACACUAAAUGUCGAAUAAUGAAAAGGAGUAGGGAGGAAGAACAAAAGUCAAGUUCCCCUCGGGCAUUACCCCUAAGCUUUCUUGUGGCGUAAUCUGCAGGAAACCAAUAAGAAAAAAUUGGUUUAGUAAUUAAACGAAUAUGAGGCCGGUACUGCAACCAGUCUUACCAUCUCUGGGUUGGAGAAGGAGUUCUCAUCCAUCACACUGGCAGAUGUAAGUACUUUCUUCUUUUUUGCAGAAGCUUUCGUGUUGCUCGAGUCCAAUCCAGUCAUCUUUACCUUCAGCUCCACUGUCACGUUUGCAAAGUUAACAGCCUGCAAAUAUAUAUAUAUGGAUAUCAACCCACAACAUUCAUUUUUCAAACUCAAAAUCUGUAAAAUAAUCACACUUGAGAAACAACACAAAACCUUAAUCUGUAUGUAAUCAGAGCCAUUGCUUUGGAAGGAUAUGGCAGAUGCUUCAACAUAAGAAGAGUUUCCCUCCAUAGUAGAGCUGAGAAGAGUUGCUCCACUUGACUCUGUGAAGAACUGUUGGACCCAAUAGCUUGGUGUUCAGCCGCCUAGGCACUACGGUCACUCUUCCGUAUCCGAUUUAUGCCAAAUUGCAUAGACUGCCUAAAUGACCGUGUAGCCGUCUAAUCGGCCGGCUAAUCUAUUUUUUUUAAUAAUAUUUUUAUUUGUUUAUUUGAUCUAAAAUUUUAUAAAUAUCAUUUAUAUUCAUAAUUUUGAUGAAAAUUAUACUAUAUUAAGUUUAUAUAUUCUAUCUGUAUGUUUUAUACAAUUUUAAACAUAAAAAUAUAUUAAUAUUAUACAUAAUUAAAGAUUAAUAUAUUUUAUAACGCAGUAAACCACAGGGCCCGUUCCCGAACAGGGGUAAAAGCUAUAUCGAGCUGCUGAAAAAAAAAAAAAAAGAAAGCUAUAUCGAGCUCUUGUUGUUGUCUUUCUAGAAGUCUUUUGUGUCUUGUCUGGAUUAAUUGAUUGUCGGAGAAGAUGAAGAGAAUAUUCGGUGCGAAAAACAACAAAGAGCCUCCACCGUCCAUUCAGGAUGCUUCUGAUCGGGUUUGCUUCUCUCUUUUCGAUUCCUUUUUUUGUUUCUUAUUAAUCAUUAAGAGGAAUGUAGAUAAUUAGGGAUUUGUUUCGAGAUUUAGAAGCUGGAUGAAGUGAAUAGGUAGAGAGAUUCAAGAGCUAUGCGAACUAGUAGUUGGAUCUUUAGAAUCACUAAAUGUAUUUUCGUGUUGUCUGUCAGAUCAAUAAAAGAGGAGAGUCAGUGGAAGAUAAGGUUAAGAGGCUUGAUGCUGAGCUUUGCAAAUACAAAGACCAGAUCAAAAGGACCAGACCUGGUCCUGCUCAAGAAGCUAUCAAAGCACGAGCUAUGCGAGUUCUCAAACAAAAGAAAAUGUAACGAGUCCAUAUCUUUGUAUAUGUGAAGUGUCUGCUUCUCUCUCAGUGGUUUAAUCAUCAUGUUUUUGGACUAGGUAUGAAGGACAACGUGACAUGCUGUACAAUCAGACUUUCAACCUUGAUCAAGUUUCUUUUGCUGCUGAAGGCCUCAAAGAUGCUCAACAAACUGUAUGUAUCAUCCAAUCACUUCUUCUUCUUAUCUUCCUAAAGAUAACUCUCGUGUUUUUUUCUCAUAUGAAUCUUAUGAUGCUUUAUCUACAUGAAUGUGGAUAAAUCUUAUAAAAACUUGAUUAAUUGCAGAUGACAGCGUUGAAAUCAGCUAACAAGGAGUUGAAAGGAAUGAUGAAAACCGUCAAGAUCCAGGACAUAGAUGUACGUCUUUAGAGUUAUGUUAUUCAAUCUCUCUUAUUAUUCCCUUCCUAGAUACUAUUCUUUUUGAUUAUGGAUAUUAUAAAUUGUAUCACAACAGAACUUGCAAGAUGAGAUGAUGGACUUAAUGGAUGUGAGCUCUGAAAUUCAAGAUUCACUGGGUAGGAGCUACAAUGUUCCUGAUGACAUUGACGAAGAUGACCUCAUGGGUGGUUAGUCCUUAAAAUCAUUUUUUUUGUGGGGGAUCAGUAGAAACUUAUUUGCCAUGUGUGUGUUGUGAAUUACAGAGCUUGAUGCACUUGAAGCUGACAUGGGAAACGAGACUGAAGCAGACGGAGUGCCUUCCUAUCUCCAACCCGACAAGGAACCGGAUCUUGAUGAGGAACUUGACUUACCUCCUCCCCCACCAGGAAGGACAACAACAACAGGAGCUCAACCUGAACGAGCUGCGCAAGUGAGUUUCACUCUCUAGCUCUUAUGUGGUAAGUUAUGAUGAAGAACAUUGUUUUUAUGUUUGUUUGCUGAUGAGAGAGAUUUUAUGAUGAAAACAGAAGGCUGAGGAUGAAUGGGGAUUACCUGCGGUGCCACGUGCUUCACUUCGGGGUUAAAUUCACACUUUCUACUUGUGUGCAUACAAGAAUGUUCACCUCCAAGCGUUUGUUUUCACUUGUGAAAGCUACUAAUACGUUUUGUGCAUAACAGUCUCAUAAACCUUGGAUCCUCGAUUUGUUCAUGAGAAGCAGUGAUUUAGUUUUUUUUUUUCUUUCCAGUCACUUAUGUUUUGUGUUUGGUCCAUUAGUAAAC